UACGGAGAGUGCAAACGUUGUUCGGAUUCACUGGGCGUAAAGGGCACGUAGGCGGCUCGGCAAAUCGGUCGUGGAAUCCCGACGCUUACCGUCGGAACGGCGGCCGAAAAUACCGGGCUCGAGGGCGUGAGGGGUCACUGGAACUCCUGGUGAAGCGGUGAAAUGCGUAGAUAUCAGAAGGAACAUCAGUGGCGAAGGCGACUUCCUGGACCAAUACUGACGCUCAGGUGCGAAAGCGUGGGGAGCAAACAGG
rnacentral:rRNA from 1 species